AACUAGGAUAAGACCCGCGCCUUGCGCAGGAUUAAGUUAUUAUUUUUAUUAUAUUUUGGAGAAUGAAACAAUAGUUUAGCUUCAUUUGGAUUACGGGUGUUCAAUCCGGAUAUCAGGUUGGUUUCGGUUCGGUUCGAUUUUUUUCGAUAUUUCGGUUAGUAAAAUAUAACUACUAUUCUAAAUCCAUAUUUACUUUGACUUUAGUCUUUCACAUACUUUGAAAGAUUUCAACUGGACGACUAAAUUGAUCAGCCAAUCUGGUUGCUUUAAAUCAUUAGUAUUUAUAUAUAUAUUAUUUAGUUUGAAUAUUUAUUAAAUAAAAAUUCAUAUGCGUUAUAUUUUAUGAUC
rnacentral:lncRNA from 1 species